rnacentral:rRNA from 1 species
UGUUGCGAUCAUACCAACACUAAUGCACCGGAUCCCAUCAGAACUCCGCAGUUAAGCGUGCUUGGGCGAGAGUAGUACUAGGAUGGGUGACCCCCUGGGAAGUCCUCGUGUUGCAACCC